AUUGAACGCUGGCGGCAUGCCUUACACAUGCAAGUCGAACGGUAACAGGUCUUCGGAUGCUGACGAGUGGCGAACGGGUGAGUAAUACAUCGGAACGUGCCCGGUCGUGGGGGAUAACGAAGCGAAAGCUUUGCUAAUACCGCAUAAGAUCUACGGAUGAAAGCAGGGGACCGCAAGGCCUUGCGCGAACGGAGCGGCCGAUGGCAGAUUAGGUAGUUGGUGGGAUAAAAGCUUACCAAGCCGACGAUCUGUAGCUGGUCUGAGAGGACGACCAGCCACACUGGGACUGAGACACGGCCCAGACUCCUACGGGAGGCAGCAGUGGGGAAUUUUGGACAAUGGGCGAAAGCCUGAUCCAGCCAUGCCGCGUGCAGGAUGAAGGCCUUCGGGUUGUAAACUGCUUUUGUACGGAACGAAAAGACUCUGGUUAAUACCUGGGGUCCAUGACGGUACCGUAAGAAUAAGCACCGGCUAACUACGUG
rnacentral:rRNA from 1 species